rnacentral:sRNA from 1 species
CCGCGUUCUCGCACGCGUCAUGAAUUUCCCCAUGCUGUACCCUCACCUACCUCCCAGUGUUCCCCUGGCCUAGGCUACCCUCUAACUAGAAUCCCUGGAUUUGGGGUUCACUGCCUCAACCUCCCAACCCCAUGCCUGGGCUUCCCUGACUGCCCGUCCUUGCUCUCAGUUUGUUCCGAUACAAGCACCCGUCUGAGGAGGAGCUUCGGGCCCUGGCGGGGAAGCCGAGGCCCAGAGGCAGGAAAGAGCGGUGGGCCAAUGGCCUUAGUGAGGAGAAGCCACUGUCUGUGCCCCGAGAUGCCCCGUUCCAGCUGGAGACCUGCCCCCUCACGACCGUGGAUGCCCUG